GACGAACGCUGGCGGCGUGCCUAAUACAUGCAAGUAGGACGCACAGUUUAUACCGUAGCUUGCUACACCAUAGACUGUAAGUUGCGAACGGGUGAGUAACGCGUAGGUAACCUGCCUAUUAGAGGGGGAUAACUAUUGGAAACGAUAGCUAAUACCGCAUAACAGUAUGUAACACAUGUUAGAUGCUUGAAAGAUGCAAUUGCAUCGCUAGUAGAUGGACCUGCGUUGUAUUAGCUAGUAGGUAGGGUAAAGGCCUACCUAGGCAACGAUACAUAGCCGACCUGAGAGGGUGAUCGGCCACACUGGGACUGAGACACGGCCCAGACUCCUACGGGAGGCAGCAGUAGGGAAUCUUCGGCAAUGGGGGGAACCCUGACCGAGCAACGCCGCGUGAGUGAAGAAGGUUUUCGGAUCGUAAAGCUCUGUUGUUAAGGAAGAACGAGUGUGAGAAUGGAAAGUUCAUACUGUGACGGUACUUAACCAGAAAGGGACGGCUAACUACGUGCCAGCAGCCGCGGUAAUACGUAGGUCCCGAGCGUUGUCCGGAUUUAUUGGGCGUAAAGCGAGCGCAGGCGGUUAGAAAAGUCUGAAGUGAAAGGCAGUGGCUCAACCAUUGUAGGCUUUGGAAACUGUUUAACUUGAGUGCAGAAGGGGAGAGUGGAAUUCCAUGUGUAGCGGUGAAAUGCGUAGAUAUAUGGAGGAACACCGGUGGCGAAAGCGGCUCUCUGGUCUGUAACUGACGCUGAGGCUCGAAAGCGUGGGGAGCGAACAGG
rnacentral:rRNA from 1 species